CUCAAAGGAAUUGACGGGGGCCCGCACAAGCGGUGGAGCAUGUGGUUUAAUUCGACGCUACGCGAAGAACCUUACCUGGCUUGACAUGUUAGUGGUAAGAACCCGAAAGGGGGAUGACUCCGACUUUGUUGGAGAGCUAACACAGGUGCUGCAUGGCUGUCGUCAGCUCGUGCCGUGAGGUGUUGGGUUAAGUCCCGCAACGAGCGCAACCCUUAUUCUCUGUUGCCCCGGAGCGACCUCUCUGAGGAAACUGCCAGCGAUGAGCUGGAGGAAGGUGGGGACGACGUCAAGUCAUCAUGGCCCUUACGUCCAGGGCGACACACGUGCUACAAUGGCCGCUACAGAGGGUCGCAAUACCGCGAGGUGGAGCCAAUCCCUAAAAGCGGUCUCAGUUGGGAUCGGAGUCUGCAACUCGACUCCGUGAACGAGGAAUCGCUAGUAAUCGUGGAUCAGCCAUGCCACGGUGAAUACGUUCCCGGGCCUUGUACACACCGCCCGUCACACCACGAAAGUCUGUUGUACCCGAAGCUGGUGCACUAACCCGCAAGGGAGGUAGCUAUCUAAGGUAUGACUGGUGAUUGGGGUGAAGUCGUAACAAGGUAGCCGU
rnacentral:rRNA from 1 species